AUCCAUCGGAUAAUUGGAUUCGGUGAAGGGCUAAUCGGAGCUGGAGAU
ncrna:unclassified sequences gut-2 RNA